rnacentral:sRNA from 1 species
GGGGAAUCGGAAUUACACUCCAACCCAAUGUGAACGUUACCAAACUGUUGCCUCGGCGGGAUCUCUGCCCCGGGUGCGUCGCAGCCCCGGACCAAGGCGCCCGCCGGAGGACCAACCAAAACUCUUAUUGUAUACCCCCUCGCGGGUUUUUUUUAUAAUCUGAGCCUUCUCGGCGCCUCUCGUAGGCGUUUCGAAAAUGAAUCAAAACUUUCAACAACGGAUCUCUUGGUUCUGGCAUCGAUGAAGAACGCAGCGAAAUGCGAUAAGUAAUGUGAAUUGCAGAAUUCAGUGAAUCAUCGAAUCUUUGAACGCACAUUGCGCCCGCCAGUAUUCUGGCGGGCAUGCCUGUCCGAGCGUCAUUUCAACCCUCGAACCCCUCCGGGGGGUCGGCGUUGGGGAUCGGCCCUGCCUUGGCGGUGGCCGUCUCCGAAAUACAGUGGCGGUCUCGCCGCAGCCUCUCCUGCGCAGUAGUUUGCACACUCGCAUCGGGAGCGCGGCGCGUCCACAGCCGUUAAACCACCCAACUUUCUGAAAAUGUGGACCUCGGAUC